rnacentral:lncRNA from 1 species
AUUUUAUCCCUUCUAUAUUAUAUAAUUAAAUUUAAAUGAUAAACAUAGAUAUAAAAUAUAUUUUUUAGGAAGCUGUUUAUUAAAUGAAAAUUUUUAAUCAUAUGGUUUUAUGAUUAUUGUUAUCUUAUAACAAAUUUUUUAACCAUUAAUAAAAAAAUUAAUUUGAGAUGUCUAAUAGUUUUAGUAAUUUAUAAUCAUUUUUAAUUGAAUGCAAAUUUCAACCAAACCGAAAACAAACCGAGAACCAAACGGGUACUCAGAUAUAUAACACUAUUAAUUAUAUAUACAUAUAACAUAGCUAAAUAUAUAUUUAUAAUUUAAAAAUCUAUUAAAAGUACCAAAAAAUAUUUGAAAAUAACUAAAUUAUUAUAAAGUAUCCGAACUACCCGAAAAUAUCUGAAAUCCGAAACU